UAGUCAUAUGCUUGUCUCAAAGAUUAAGCCAUGCAUGUGUAAGCACAAGCCGUAUAUGGGGAAGCCGCGAAUGGCUCAUUACAACAGCCAUAGUUUAUUAGAUCUUAUCCUUUUACAUGGAUAACUGUGGUAAUUCUAGAGCUAAGAGGGGCAUUCAAGCUCAGACCUUACGGAAUGAGCGCAUUUAUUAGAACAAAACCAAUCGGACUUCGGUCCGCCUUUUGGUGAAUCUGAAUACCUUAGCAGAUCGCACGGUCUUUGUACCGGCGACAUAUCUUUCAGAUGUCUGCCUUAUCAACUUUCGUUGGUAGUUUAUGCGCCUACCAUGGUUGUAACGGGUAACGGAGAAUAAGGGUUCGACUCCGGAGAGGGAGCCUGAGAAACGGCUACCACAUCCAAGGAAGGCAGCAGGCACGCAAAUUACCCAAUCCCCGAACGGGGGGGUAGUGACGAAAAAUAACGAGACCGUUCUCUAUGAGGCCGGUCAUCGGAAUGAGUACAACUUAAAUCCUUUAACGAGGAUCCAUUGAAGGGCAAGUCUGGUGCCAGCAGCCGCGGUAAUUCCAGCUCCAAUAGCGUAUAUUAAAGUUGUUGCGGUUAAAAAGCUCGUAGUUGGAUCUGCGGACUUGAAGAACGGUCGCCUAAUGGGUGUACUGUUUUCCUGUCCUAUUUUCUCUAGGUUAC
rnacentral:rRNA from 1 species